GUUAAAUUUGUUUGAAUUAGCUCAAGAGCUUAGAGGACCACAGUUGGAUAAGGGAAAGGAAAAAGUGAUCGAAUAGCCGUUGAAGCCGUUCGACAACAUCCGAGAUUUUGGUUCUUCAGCUAUCGGAUUCGGGAUUUUGAAGUCGAAGUCGCCCACACUAUCAAAGCUCCUUUCGGUAUAUUUUUGGUUGGACUUUGAAAUGGCAUGUAUAGGACUACCCUUUUGUUAUAGGUCAUGUACCUUUCGGUUUUGUGUAAAUUUGGAUAGCCAUGCGAAAAUGGCUUAAGUAUACUUUGGGCAUGGUAUUAUAAUCAUUGUAUGUUGUUCAUUAAGAGGUAUGGAAAUGUUUGGAAACGAUUAGCCAUUGGGAUGGUUAAUCAUGAUCA